rnacentral:rRNA from 1 species
UACGAAGGGGGCUAGCGUUGUUCGGAAUUACUGGGCGUAAAGCGCACGUAGGCGGAUAUUUAAGUCAGGGGUGAAAUCCCAGAGCUCAACUCUGGAACUGCCUUUGAUACUGGGUAUCUUGAGUAUGGAAGAGGUAAGUGGAAUUGCGAGUGUAGAGGUGAAAUUCGUAGAUAUUCGCAGGAACACCGGUGGCGAAGGCGGCCUUAGCUGGACAGUGACGUGACGCUGAGACGCGAAAGCGUGGGGAGCAAACAGG